GACUCCUACGGGAGGCAGCAGUGAGGAAUAUUGCGCAAUGGGGGAAACCCUGACGCAGCAACGCCGCGUGUGGGAAGAAGGCCUUCGGGUCGUAAACCACUUUUGCACGGGACGAAAAAGGGAUAUCGAACAAAUAUCCCCGAUGACGGUACCGUGAGAAUAAGCCACGGCUAACUCUGUGCCAGCAGCCGCGGUAAGACAGAGGUGGCAAGCGUUGUUCG
rnacentral:rRNA from 1 species